rnacentral:rRNA from 1 species
GGNCGGNNGGCUACACAUGCAAGUCGAGCGGUAGAGAGAAGCUUGCUUCUCUUGAGAGCGGCGGACGGGUGAGUAAUGCCUAGGAAUCUGCCUGGUAGUGGGGGAUAACGUUCGGAAACGGACGCUAAUACCGCAUACGUCCUACGGGAGAAAGCAGGGGACCUUCGGGCCUUGCGCUAUCAGAUGAGCCUAGGUCGGAUUAGCUAGUUGGUGAGGUAAUGGCUCACCAAGGCGACGAUCCGUAACUGGUCUGAGAGGAUGAUCAGUCACACUGGAACUGAGACACGGUCCAGACUCCUACGGGAGGCAGCAGUGGGGAAUAUUGGACAAUGGGCGAAAGCCUGAUCCAGCCAUGCCGCGUGUGUGAAGAAGGUCUUCGGAUUGUAAAGCACUUUAAGUUGGGAGGAAGGGCAGUUACCUAAUACGUGAUUGUUUUGACGUUACCGACAGAAUAAGCACCGGCUAACUCUGUGCCAGCAGCCGCGGUAAUACAGAGGGUGCAAGCGUUAAUCGGAAUUACUGGGCGUAAAGCGCGCGUAGGUGGUUUGUUAAGUUGGAUGUGAAAUCCCCGGGCUCAACCUGGGAACUGCAUUCAAAACUGACUGACUAGAGUAUGGUAGAGGGUGGUGGAAUUUCCUGUGUAGCGGUGAAAUGCGUAGAUAUAGGAAGGAACACCAGUGGCGAAGGCGACCACCUGGACUGAUACUGACACUGAGGUGCGAAAGCGUGGGGAGCAAACAGGAUUAGAUACCCUGGUAGUCCACGCCGUAAACGAUGUCAACUAGCCGUUGGGAGCCUUGAGCUCUUAGUGGCGCAGCUAACGCAUUAAGUUGACCGCCUGGGGAGUACGGCCGCAAGGUCAAAACUCAAAUGAAUUGACGGGGGCCCGCACAAGCGGUGGAGCAUGUGGUUUAAUUCGAGCACGCGAGACCUUACCAGGCCUUGAC